UAGUCUGUUUUGAGAAGAUAGCGAUAGGUCCCAAAGGGUUGCAAAGCUUAAAGCUUCUCUCUCUCUCUCUCUCUCUAUAUCUUGCAGAGGAGAAAAAGCUCUUUCAUGGCGAUCUUGGAGUACGAGCUUCGCUCAGAACUCGGUUGAUUUCUUUCUAGAUACAUGCUUACUUCUACGUUUUCGGUGUUAGGUGAAGAAAUGCGCGAUCUCUGAGUCUGAUAGAGAUUAAUUUCUUUCGAUUUUGAAUUUUGUUCGUCAAUUUAGGUUGUAGUGGACGCAAUUGAAAGUUGAAGACAUCAGUUUAAAAAAGCUUCGAGAUUUUACAAUUCAGUUUCGGUGAUUGUAAAGCUGCUUGUCUGUGUUUUGGGAUCUCCAGCUGUGGUACUUAAAGAAAUUAAGAGGGAGUUGGAAACGGAGAUUUGAGUUUGAUGCUUUGUAUUUAGUCGAGGAAGUUAUUAUAUUAUCUAGCUUUGGAUGCGCUCACAGGAGUCUGCUACUGGAAAAGUUCUGGUUUAGCUGCUCUCAGGGGUGAUAGAUUUCUGUCUGGUUUGUGAAAUGCGAAUGUUUGAGCGAAGAAAUGAAGUCUAUUACCAUGGAUUAAUGGUUAUGGGGGGUAAAAUGGUUGCGGAAAGAAUCUUCUGAUCUCGGGAUUGGGUAGAAUGGCACAGUGGAGCAGACUUGGGACGAAGCUUAAGCUAUCGACGUCUUCAAGUCAGUUCUGCUGAAUCUAGAGUUUUUUCUUUUUUUGAAAAUGAAGCUUUCGACUACGGGGAUGUGUCAGCCGGGUCAAGAAGGCGGGGAGAAGAGGUGCUUGAAUUCGGAGCUUUGGCAUGCUUGUGCUGGUCCUCUUGUGUCCCUACCAGCAGUCGGCAGCCGUGUUGUCUACUUUCCUCAGGGUCACAGUGAACAGGUUGCUGCUUCGACUAACAAAGAAGUAGAUGGGCAUAUACCCAAUUAUCCGAGCUUGCCUCCACAACUGAUCUGUCAACUCCAUGAUGUUACGAUGCAUGCAGACGUGGAAACAGAUGAAGUUUACGCUCAGAUGACAUUGCAGCCCUUGACACCGCAAGAGCAGAAGGAUGCUUAUCUUCCUGCGGACCUGGGAAUUUCAAGCAAGCAGCCAACCAAUUAUUUCUGCAAGACGUUAACUGCAAGUGAUACCAGUACUCAUGGAGGGUUCUCCGUUCCUCGUCGUGCUGCUGAGAAAGUGUUUCCUCCUCUGGACUUCUCCCAGCAGCCCCCAGCUCAAGAACUUGUUGCAAGAGAUCUUCAUGAUGUUGAGUGGAAAUUUAGACAUAUUUUUCGUGGACAGCCCAAAAGGCAUCUUCUGACCACAGGAUGGAGUGUGUUCGUUAGUGCCAAGAGACUUGUUGCUGGAGAUUCUGUUCUGUUUAUUUGGAAUGAAAGGAAUCAGCUGUUACUGGGGAUUCGCCGUGCCAAUCGACCACAAACGGUGAUGCCUUCAUCUGUUUUAUCAAGCGAUAGCAUGCAUAUAGGUCUCCUUGCUGCUGCAGCACAUGCUGCUGCCACUAAUAGCCGUUUCACGAUUUUUUAUAAUCCAAGGGCAAGUCCUUCAGAGUUUGUUAUACCCCUCUCCAAGUAUGCAAAAGCGGUGUUUCAUACUCGUGUAUCUGUUGGGAUGCGUUUCCGUAUGCUUUUUGAGACUGAAGAAUCUAGUGUCCGCCGGUACAUGGGCACAAUUACUGGCAUAAGUGAUCUUGAUCAUGUUCGUUGGCCAAAUUCUCAUUGGCGAUCUGUCAAGGUUGGUUGGGAUGAAUCAACUGCUGGUGAGAGACAGCCAAGAGUUUCUUUGUGGGAGAUAGAGCCUUUAACCACAUUUCCCAUGUACCCAUCAUUAUUUCCUGUAAGGCUUAAACGACCUUGGCAUCCUGGGAUUUCUUCUUUACAUGAUAAUACAGAUGAUGCAGCAAAUGCCCUUAUGUGGCUGAGAGGGAAUAAUGGAGAGCUGGGUAUUCAAUCCUUGAAUUUUCAGGAACUUGGUGUGAGCACCUUGAUGCAGCAGAGGCUUGAUCUUCCAUUUCUGAGAAAUGAACAUGAUCCACAGUACCAAACCAUGGCAGCUGCAGCCUUGCAGGAUAUAAGAAGUGAUCCUCUGAAACAGCAAGUUCUGCAAUUUCAGCAGCCUUUGCCUUUCCUAUUCCAGCAACAGUCAAGUGGGCCUAAUCAACUUUUGCAGCUGCAAAUGAUGCAACAGUCAUUUUCUCAGCAGACUGUGCAAGCACAAGCCCAAAAUUUAGCUAACCAGCAUCGGCACCUUGUGCAGCCACAACUGCUACAGUCACUGAAUGAUCAGCAGAAGCAGCAGCAGGCGCAACAGCAGCAACAAACAUAUCAAGAAGCUUUUCAGAUUGCAAAUGAUCACCUCCAGCAGCAACAAACAACUUUUUCUGCUCCUUUAUGCCAGAAAACAGAUUUUACAGAUUCAAACAUAACCUUCUCAGCUGCAAUAAACCCUGCAUAUAUGCAAAGUAUGAUGGGCUCACUUUGUCCUGAAGGCAGUGGCAAUCUUCUGAAUUUCUCAAGAAUUGGUCAGUCCGUGCUGAGUGAGCAGCAACAACAGCAGCCUUGGGGACCAAAGUUUUCUUGUUCACAAGCCAAUGCAUUUGGUAACUCAGUAUCUGACCCACAGUUCACUGGCAAAGAUGGCUCUGUGGAGGCGGACAAUUGUAGUGGAGAUGCCCAAAACCACACUCUUUUUGGUGUUAAUAUUGAUUCAUCUGAGAUCCUGCUUCCCACUUCAGUGCCCAAUCUAGUUACUUCUUCAAUUGAUGCUGAUGUGUCCUCCAUUCCCUUUGGAGCUUCUGGCCUUCAGAGUCCUUUGUAUGGCUGCAUGGAUGAUUCUUCUGAUUUUCUGCAUGGUUCGGGGCAAGUUGAUCCACCAACCAAAACAUUUGUGAAGGUCUACAAGUCAGGAUCAGUUGGGAGGUCACUGGACAUCACCCGCUUCAGCAGCUAUCAUGAGUUGAUAGAGGAGCUUGGUCAGAUGUUUGGAAUUGAGGGCAAACUUGAUGGCCCUCUAAGAUCAGGCUGGCAGCUUGUAUUCGUUGACAGGGAGAAUGAUGUUCUUCUCCUUGGAGACGACCCUUGGGAGUCAUUUGUAAAUAAUGUUUGGUAUAUCAAGAUACUUUCUCCCGAGGAUGUGAAGAAACUAGGGAAACAAGGGUCUGGGAUACUUCCCGUGAGCUCUCUUGACUACUGAAAAUGAGACAAGAUGGUAUGACCUAGCACAUCAUUUGGUUCUUGCUUCGAUGAUUUCUAGUGAUUUUCCAGAACAAGCUGGCAUUCACUGCUUGACUUGGAAAUAAUUGUAUGCGAUGAAGCUUCAGAUUACGAACUCUUCGAACAGGUGUUUUGGUUUCCUAUGUAAUAUAGAUAUGCUCACAUGCAUGCUUACAUAAACUUCGUACCUCAUUCCCCACCAAUUUGUUAGUGUUUCAGUAUUGUAUUUGUUCAUCAGUCUGAAAACUCAAACCACUCAUUUAGUAGCUAUGAAUGUUUAUAAAUACUGAAUUACGUUGUCUAGUUAUUAUUAUAUAUGGAAGUCCUUAAACCCCA